AUAUUGUAAUAAUUAAAUUGACCGUUAUUGACGUCACACAUAGGCGCCCGCAGGAAAUUUAAUCAGGGAGGGGCAGUGCCUUGGUAAAAAGUUUCGAAUGAUUUUUUUUUAAGUACAUAUAUUUUUCAAAUAUAAGUAUACACAUAUUACUAAACAAGAACCUGCCAUUUGAUAACCGGGCAGACAUAGGAAUGAGGGCUAUAAUAAAAUCAAACACUAACGAACUAUAACAAAGUAAUAUAAAUUAUCUAAUUAUUAAAAUCAUAUUUGAAAUUUUGGAGUCCAGAGGGGGGCAGAUGCCCCGUUUCGCCCUGCUUUCCGGCGUCACAUAUUAUCUAAGUUUUUAUGUAUUAUAAUCUACGCAUUUUGAAUACGUACCGUAUUGAUAACAAUAGGGAUUAUUGUGUGAACGGUUUUUUUUUUAAAUUGGCCGUUUAAAAAGCCUACCGCUAACGCGUUUCGUGCUAAUUGAGCGAAGGCGAUUAAUAAUCCGGCCGUCCCGUAGCCAGUGGUGCUC